rnacentral:rRNA from 1 species
AGUGAACGCUGGCGGUAGGCCUAACACACGCAAGUCGAACGGCAGCACAGAGGAGCUUGCUCCUUGGGUGGCGAGUGGCGGACGGGUGAGGAAUACAUCGGAAUCUACUCUGUCGUGGGGGAUAACGUAGGGAAACUUACGAUAAUACCGCAUACGACCUACGGGUGAAAGCAGGGGAUCUUCGGACCUUGCGCGAUUGAAUGAGCCGAUGUCGGAUUAGCUAGUUGGCGGGGUAAAGGCCCACCAAGGCGACGAUCCGUAGCUGGUCUGAGAGGAUAAUCAGCCACACUGGAACUGAGACACGGUCCAGACUCCUACGGGAGGCAUCAGUGGGGAAUAUUGGACAAUGGGCGCAAGCCUGAUCCAGCCAUACCGCGUGGGUGAAGAAGGCCUUCGGGUUGUAAAGCCCUUUUGUUGAGAAAGAAAUCCAUCUGGUUAAUACCCGGGUGGGAUGACGGUACCCAAAGAAUAAGCACCGGCUAACUUCGUGCCAGCAGCCGCAGUAA